UACGUAGGGGGCUAGCGUUGUCCGGAAUCAUUGGGCGUAAAGCGCGCGUAGGCGGCCCGGUAAGUCCGCUCUGAAAGUCCAGGGCUCAACCCUGGAAAGCGGGUGGAUACUGCCGGGCUAGAAUCCGGAAGAGGCGAGUGGAAUUCCUGGUGUAGCGGUGGAAUGCGCAGAUAUCAGGAGGAACACCAAUUGCGAAGGCAGCUCGCUGGGACGUUACUGACGCUGAGACGCGAAAGCGUGGGGAGCGAACAGG
rnacentral:rRNA from 1 species